rnacentral:rRNA from 1 species
AAAGCGCAUGCAGGCGGCCGUGUUAAGUCAGAUGUAGAAACGGCCCGGGGACCGUUAACCCGUACGGUAAUUGCUAUUUAGUAAACGUGGCGAGGCUAGAGUCUUGUAGAGGGGGGUAGGAAUUUCAGGUGUAGCGGUGAAAUGCGUAGAGAUCUGAAGGAAUAUCAGUGGCGAAGGCGGCCCCCUGGACAAAGACUGACGCUCAGAUGCGAAAGCGUGGGGAGCAAACAGGAUUAGAUACCCUGGUAG